CGUCUGUGACUCCUACGGGAGGCAGCAGUGGGGAAUAUUGCACAAUGGGGGAAACCCUGAUGCAGCCAUGCCGCGUGUGUGAAGAAGGCCUUCGGGUUGUAAAGCACUUUCAGUAGGGAGGAAGGUAGUGUAGUUAACACCUGCAUUAUUUGACGUUACCUACAGAAGAAGCACCGGCUAACUCCGUGCCAGCAGCCGCGGUAAUACGGAGGGUGCGAGCGUUAAUCGGAAUUACUGGGCGUAAAGCGCAUGCAGGCGGCCUGUUAAGUCAGAUGUGAAAGCCCGGGGCUUAACCUCGGAAUUGCAUUUGAAACUGGCAGGCUAGAGUCUUGUAGAGGGGGUAGAAUUUCAGGUGUAGCGGUGAAAUGCGUAGAGAUCUGAAGGAAUACCAGUGGCGAAGGCGGCCCCCUGGACAAAGACUGACGCUCAGAUGCGAAAGCGUGGGGAGCAAACAGGAUUUGAUACCCUGGUAG
rnacentral:rRNA from 1 species